rnacentral:rRNA from 1 species
UGGGGAAUAUUGGACAAUGGGCGCAAGCCUGAUCCAGCCAUGCCGCGUGAGUGAUGAAGGCCCUAGGGUUGUAAAGCUCAUUCACCGGUGAAGAUAAUGACGGUAACCGGAGAAGAAGCCCCGGCUAACUUCGUGCCAGCAGCCGCGGUAAUACGAAGGGGGCUAGCGUUGUUCGGAUUUACUGGGCGUAAAGCGCACGUAGGCGGACUAUUAAGUCAGGGGUGAAAUCCCGGGGCUCAACCCCGGAACUGCCUUUGAUACUGGUAGUCUUGAGUUCGAGAGAGGUGAGUGGAAUUCCGAGUGUAGAGGUGAAAUUCGUAGAUAUUCGGAGGAACACCAGUGGCGAAGGCGGCUCACUGGCUCGAUACUGACGCUGAGGUGCGAAAGCGUGGGGAGCAAACAGG